CCAGGCUGAACGCCAAGGGGAGAAGCCCCAACAUGGCUGCACCAUCCACCAUGUCUGAGAUGCGUCAUCACCUCAGAAAAGAGGCUCGCGUCCCAUCUCUGGGCCACCUCGCUUGAACUCCGAGGCGCUAGCACAUGCCUUCCUUUGGCCAGGCUGAGCGCCAAGGGGAGAAGCCCCAACAUGGCUGCACUAUCCACCAUGUCUGGGAUGCGUUGUCACCUCGGAGGAGAGGCUCGCGUCCCAUCUCUGGGCCACCUCGCUUGAACUCCGAGGCGCUAGCACAUGCCUUCCUUUGGCCAGGCUGAGCGCCAAGGGGAGAAGCCCCAACAUGGCUGCACCAUCCACCAUGUCUGGGAUGCGUCAUCACCUCGGAGGAGAGGCUCGCGUCCCAUUUCUGGGCCACCUCGCUUGAACUCCGAGGCGCUAGCACAUGCCUUCCUUUGGCCAGGCUGAACGCCAAGGGGAGAAGCCCCAACAUGGCUGCACCAUCCACCAUGUCUGAGAUGCGUCGUCACCUCGGAGGAGAGGCUCGCGUCCCAUCUCUGGGCCACCUCGCUUGAACUCCGAGGCGCUAGCACAUACCUCCCUUUGACCAGGCUGAGCGCCAAGGGGAGAAGCCCCAACAUGGCUGCACCAUCCACCAUGUUUGGGAUGCGUCGUCACCUCGGAGGAGAGGCUCGCGUCCCAUCUCUGGGCCACCUCGCUUGAACUCCGAGGCGCUAGCACAUGCCUCCCUUUGGCCAGGCUGAACGCCAAGGGGAGAAACCCCAACAUGGUUGCACCAUCCACCAUGUCUGGGAUGCGUCAUCACCUCGGAGGAGAGGCUUGCGUCCCAUCUCUGGGCCACCUCGCUUGAACUCCGAGAUGCUAGCACAUGCCUCCUUUUGGCGAGGCUGAACGCCAAUGGGAGAAGCCACUUCACGUGAAUUCCGAGGCUCAUACAAUUAUUAUGCUUAAGUUCGGCUGCAACAGCAUUCGUUGGAUCCCUUCAGGUUAUAGUUAUUAUGCUUAAGUAAAGUUCAAUUGCUUAACGAGGCUAAUACACUUCGGAGAAAAACAGCAUGUGAUGAAGAUAGAUUACAGUGAAAAGUGAACUACACUAAGCCCAGUCAAUGGUGGAGGUGCCUCGACAGCAGGUGCCUCAGCAGCUUGAGCCUUACGAUUUAGCCUUCACAAGCCUCGCAGGUUCGGUUUCUCAACCACCUUGGCUUCACCACAUUUCAGCCUUCACAAGCCUCGCAGGUUCGGUUUCCCAACCACCUCGACUUCGUCACAAUUCAGCAUUCACAAGCCUCGCAGGUUUGGUUUAGUCAACCACCUCGACUUCUUCAUCAUUCAUUCACAACAACGCAUUUCUAACUCCAACCAUGACAUAAAUGACUAUACUUGAACUUGGGGGACUAUUAUUUGGAAUUAAAAAAUUCUUUCAAUUUUUACCCAACCCACUGGCUUUACUUCAUUGAAGUCCACGCAUUGCAUAAAUGAAUAUUAGACUCAAACUUGGGGGACUAUAGCAAUACUAGUACCUCAGCAUCACUACAUAUCAUUGCCAUAGCUUAUGUACUAUAUUGUUGCUUCGAAGCACGAAUACCAUAUUAUUGCUACCAUGUCAUACAUUAUUUUCAUCACAGCCAGUACGUAUCUCGUAUUAUCAUCAUUUUCAUUUUAUUGUCUACAUCAUGUUACUUGCUUCACUAUAGCACUACUGAUACACUGAGCUAUGCGAGCAUAUGAUUUAUUAUAAUGCAUGACAGACACUCUGCACAUAUCUUGGAGAAACGCGAUAUGUUACACCUUAUGAGCAUUUAAAGGGGCAAAUGGACCCCAAAUUUAUUUGGUAUAUGUGCUGUGGAUAUAUUGUAUUGUAUUACAGGAUUGGUUUAGUUCAUUUUACAGAGGAGAUGCUGUCGAAAUUUUGAAAAAGUAUACGCAGCAUAUCUUUCGAGGCAAUUUGUAAGUCCUCACUUAUUUUGACACAUUUUCUGAGGCAGUUCGUAAGUCCUCAUUUAUUGGAGCGACUCAUAUUUCUCGAGGCAAUUCGUAAGUCCUCACCUAUUCGAGAUCGAUGCAUAUUUUCGAGGCAAUUCGUAAGCCCUUGCUUAUUGGAGCUACCCAUCUUUCUGAGGCAAUCUGUAAGGCCUCGCCUACUUGAGAGUUUAGAUUUCAAGUCCGACCCGCAUAUAAAUAACACGACUCGGACUUGGGGGACUACUGUUACGCCUAUGAAUUAUCACUCCAUAUUGGGCCACCUUAUUGGACCCGAGCCAGGCCCAUUAGUGUUGGGCCUCAAAUCCGAGGCUCUAAGAAGCUUAGCCGAGGCGCCACCGAGGCCAUAAAAAGCCCAGCCGAAGUGCCUAUCACUUUGCUCACCUCAUACUGGGCUCGAACUUAGGCCCAUUAACCCGCCUUAGCCCAUUUCACAUCAUUUCUCUAUAUAUAUGGAUUCAAUUCACAAGUUAAGGAAUGUUCUAAAUACUCUAGCCAAAUCCCCUAUCUCUCUACUAUUGCACUCUAUAUAUCUAUCUCCGUCCUGCCGUUGACUUGACAGUCGGAGUGCAAACGGUCACCAGACCUUUUUCUCGUCUGGCCGCCUUUGCCUCUUGACGGGUGUUACAUGCGCAGGUUUCGAGGGGACAAAGCUAGGGUGCCUGUUGGAGCCAUUUUUAGAGGUCAACAGUAAAUGUAGAAUCACAAAUUGCAGUUUGACAUUGUUUACUUACAUCUGCUUCUUCAAAGUAGUAGAGUCAUUCACACUCUUUAGAACUACCAAUCGUCUUCCCUGGUGAUAGGCCCUGAAAAAACACAACAAGAUGGGAGAAAUUUAGCAAAGCAAUUUAAAUGUUAGUCAAUUGACUAAUAGAUAAUAGAUUGCAAGAUAAAUUUGGAACAUGAACGGAUUGAAGACUUGUGAAUUUGGAGAUUUGAAUACUCUCUUUUCAUACAACAGGUUAAAGUGAGCCAUCUGUAAUUUUAACUUUAGUAUUACCGGUGCAGGUUGAGUAUGGGGAUAAGAGAUGAUAAGAGUUCGUCACGUGAUCGGGUGCCCCUGAGUCAAUAAUCUAGAGAGUUUUAUAUUUUGAGGUUGAAUUUAGAGCUCUUAAGAAUUAACUUUGUGGGCUCGAGAACUCGAUGGGCUAUUUAUGGUCAAGUAACUAGACGUUUGGAGACUAGAGAAAAUCUGGCAUAGUUGCUCCAUUUGUUUAGGAUUAAAUGCGCCCCUUGAAGAUUUUAUUUCCUUGGAUCACUCGGUCGGGUAACUGGAGACUUGGUAGCCACAGCUUCUAAAUUUUGGUUUUGGUUUCCAAUCCCUUGGUUUCCCAUGUAAUACCUAACAUGUGUCUUCUUCGUGUCCCGACUUUCGACAAUGCUCGCACCAAGAACGUUUGUUUUAGUGCUUUGGGCUUGACCCAUUAGAUGACCUUUUAGAUAUGAGUGCUGAAAUCAUAGCAGGCCCAUCAAUUUUUGAAGCUUUAAAUAGCCCAACUCUAGUUUUAGAAGAUGGUAUAUCUUGAGGCCCAACUCCAUUUUUAAAGCCCAUUACAGCAAUCCCAUACCCUUUAGACAACAGCGCCGACAUAUCCACUCCAGAGGUCCGAUCUCCGUCAACAUCGUCUUCCUCCUGCUCUCAUCUCUUCUCACUUCAUAAAACACUUCGCCUUCUGAGUCGUGGUUAAGACCGACUAAGAACUCAUGGACUCUUUCAUUUUCAAACCCUUUUUUAAAUCUCACGAUGUCGCCCGGGCACUCCCAUGCUUCUUCGAAAUUCAAAUUUGCUUCUUUGAAAUUCAAAUCAAGUUCCUGCAAGAGAGAGGACAUCUCCAUUUAGUACUCUGUCACUUCCCUAUCUCCUUGUUUUGCUAGCCACAAACGGGUCUUAAUUUCAAAUAUCUUAGAGCAGUUUUCUGAGUCUGAGUACAUCUCCUUCACGGCGUCCCAUAUGUCUUUUGCUGUAGGCAGAAAUAGAUAGGUUUUUUAUGAGCUAAGAUGUUACCAUUGAAUUUUCUGAACUCCACUUCUUCGAGAGGACAGGAUCUAUAGGUUUCUUCGUUUCACCAGUAAUGUAACCAAUCCUACCUUUUCCGUCGAUGAUUAGCUUUAUUGACUGAACCCACUUUCGAUAGUUCCUUCCGUUUAGUUUUUCAACUCUGAGAUGGAAGGAGGAGUUAUCGGGGCUGUGUGACUCCAUUAUUGAGGUGGCUUCGGUUUCACUGUUUGAUGGUUGAGUGCUCAUUGACCCUUUACUGUUAAUGGGGAUCCGC
rnacentral:lncRNA from 1 species